AACACCCUCAGUUCCUAUUCUCUUUUGAGAGUUAGGGACUGGACUUGAGCAGUCCCAACGUCAGAAGACUUGUUCUACUGUCGGCGGGUUGCUUAAAAUGCAGGUGCGGCAGGACACAUCUUCUGAGCUAAAAGCAUUACUUAUUUAGUCCCGUCAGACGGACUAUUACUAUUGCUGCAGCUAAGAUAUUAAAGGUCGAUUGUCCUUAUUGCCCGACUGAUGCAGGAAUUGUCAGAGGACUCUUUGUCCUCUGUUCA
rnacentral:misc_RNA from 2 species